rnacentral:rRNA from 1 species
AGCUAGUUGGUGAGGUAAUGGCUCACCAAGGCGACGAUCCGUAACUGGUCUGAGAGGAUGAUCAGUCACACUGGAACUGAGACACGGUCCAGACUCCUACGGGAGGCAGCAGUGGGGAAUAUUGGACAAUGGGCGAAAGCCUGAUCCAGCCAUGCCGCGUGUGUGAAGAAGGUCUUCGGAUUGUAAAGCACUUUAAGUUGGGAGGAAGGGUUGUAGAUUAAUACUCUGCAAUUUUGACGUUACCGACAGAAUAAGCACCGGCUAACUCUGUGCCAGCAGCCGCGGUAAUACAGAGGGUGCAAGCGUUAAUCGGAAUUACUGGGCGUAAAGCGCGCGUAGGUGGUUUGUUAAGUUGGAUGUGAUAUCCCCGGGCUCAACCUGGGAACUGCAUUCAAAACUGACUGACUAGAGUAUGGUAGAGGGUGGU